rnacentral:rRNA from 1 species
GGCGGCCUGCUGGGCUUUAACUGACGCUGAGGCACGAAAGCGUGGGUAGCAAACAGGAUUAGAUACCCUGGUAGUCCACGCUGUAAACGAUGAUUACUAGGUGUGGGGGGACUGACCCCUUCCGUGCCGGAGUUAACACAAUAAGUAAUCCACCUGGGGAGUACGGCCGCAAGGUUGAAACUCAAAGGAAUUGACGGGGGCCCGCACAAGCAGUGGAGUAUGUGGUUUAAUUCGAAGCAACGCGAAGAACCUUACCAGGUCUUGACAUCCAACUAACGAAGUAGAGAUACAUCAGGUGCCCUUCGGGGAAAGUUGAGACAGGUGGUGCAUGGUUGUCGUCAGCUCGUGUCGUGAGAUGUUGGGUUAAGUCCCGCAACGAGCGCAACCCUUGCUAUUAGUUGCUACGCAAGAGCACUCUAAUAGGACUGCCGUUGACAAAACGGAGGAAGGUGGGGACGACGUCAAAUCAUCAUGCCCCUUAUGACUUGGGGGACACACGUACUACAAUGGCCAUCAACAGAGGGAAGCAAAACAGCGAUGUGGAGCAAACCCCUAAAAAUGGUCUCAGUUCAGAUUGCAGGCUGCAACCCGCCUGCAUGAA